UACAGGGGGGGCAAGCGUUGUUCGGAAUUACUGGGCGUAAAGGGUUUGUAGGUGGCUUGUUAAGUCAGACGUGAAAUCCCUCAGCUUAACUGGGGAACUGCGUCUGAUACUGGCGAGCUUGAGUGCAGGAGAGGAACGCGGAAUUCCAGGUGUAGCGGUGAAAUGCGUAGAUAUCUGGAGGAACACCGGUGGCGAAGGCGGCGUUCUGGACUGCAACUGACACUGAAAAACGAAAGCCAGGGGAGCAAACGGG
rnacentral:rRNA from 1 species